GUCGGCGUGCUUAACACAUGCAAGUCGAACGGAAAGGCCCUGCUUUUGUGGGGUGCUCGAGUGGCGAACGGGUGAGUAACACGUGAGUAACCUGCCCUUGACUUUGGGAUAACUUCAGGAAACUGGGGCUAAUACCGGAUAGGAGCUCCUGCUGCAUGGUGGGGGUUGGAAAGUUUCGGCGGUUGGGGAUGGACUCGCGGCUUAUCAGCUUGUUGGUGGGGUAGUGGCUUACCAAGGCUUUGACGGGUAGCCGGCCUGAGAGGGUGACCGGCCACAUUGGGACUGAGAUACGGCCCAGACUCCUACGGGAGGCAGCAGUGGGGAAUAUUGCACAAUGGGCGGAAGCCUGAUGCAGCAACGCCGCGUGCGGGAUGACGGCCUUCGGGUUGUAAACCGCUUUCGCCUGUGACGAAGCGUGAGUGACGGUAAUGGGUAAAGAAGCACCGGCUAACUACGUGCCAGCAGCCGCGGUGAUACGUAGGGUGCGAGCGUUGUCCGGAUUUAUUGGGCGUAAAGGGCUCGUAGGUGGUUGAUCGCGUCGGAAGUGUAAUCUUGGGGCUUAACCCUGAGCGUGCUUUCGAUACGGGUUGACUUGAGGAAGGUAGGGGAGAAUGGAAUUCCUGGUGGAGCGGUGGAAUGCGCAGAUAUCAGGAGGAACACCAGUGGCGAAGGCGGUUCUCUGGGCCUUUCCUGACGCUGAGGAGCGAAAGCGUGGGGAGCGAACAGGCUUAGAUACCCUGGUAGUCCACGCUGUAAACGGUGGGUACUAGGUGUGGGGUCCAUUCCACGGGUUCCGUGCCGUAGCUAACGCUUUAAGUACCCCGCCUGGGGAGUACGGCCGCAAGGCUAAAACUCAAAGGAAUUGACGGGGCCCCGCACAAGCGGCGGAGCAUGCGGAUUAAUUCGAUGCAACGCGUAGAACCUUACCUGGGUUUGACAUGGAUCGGGAGUGCUCAGAGAUGGGUGUGCCUCUUUUGGGGUCGGUUCACAGGUGGUGCAUGGCUGUCGUCAGCUCGUGUCGUGGGAUGUUGGGUUAAGUCCCGCAACGAGCGCAACCCUUGUUCACUGUUGCCAGCACGUUAUGGUGGGGACUCAGUGGAGACCGCCGGGGUCAACUCGGAGGAAGGUGGGGAUGACGUCAAGUCAUCAUGCCCCUUAUGUCCAGGGCUUCACGCAUGCUACAAUGGCUGGUACAGAGAGUGGCGAGCCUGUGAGGGUGAGCGAAUCUCGGAAAGCCGGUCUCAGUUCGGAUUGGGGUCUGCAACUCGACCUCAUGAAGUCGGAGUCGCUAGUAAUCGCAGAUCAGCAACGCUGCGGUGAAUACGUUCCCGGGGCUUGUACACACCGCCCGUCAAGUCAUGAAAGUUGGUAACACCCGAAGCCGGUGGCCUAACCGUUGUGGGGGAGCCGUCGAAGGUGGGACUGGUGAUUAGG
rnacentral:rRNA from 1 species